UUACCCGACUGCGCCAGAAGGAGGGUUAUGUUUUUCGAGAGUAUGUAUGUAUGUAUGUAGGUAUGUAUGUAUGUAUGUAUGUAUAAUUGUUUGGCACGCUCUACAGCCUAAACGGCUUGAUGGAUUUUGGCUUGAGAGGUGUCGUUAGAUUCGUAUUUACUGUGAGAAUGACACUGGAUAUAUCAAAAUAAUAAAAAAAUAAAAUGGCGGAUUUUUGGCGCCAAAUUCGAAUAUUGUUCAAUCUCUAGCCUAAACGACUCGAUGGAUUUCAGCUUCCGUUUGAUUAAUUUUUACUGUGAGAGUGCCACUAGAUACCUAUAAUUACCAAAAUAUUAAAAUAAUAAAACUAAAAGAAAAUAAAAUAAAAUAAGGUAA